AGAACGCCGUCGCUAGAAACUUAAACGGAAACCCCAAAUGCUUUUUCUUUUCUGCUUUGGUUUUCUAUUUUUCUCCAAAUGUUCUUGUCCUUUUUUUUCCUGUCUUUUUCUCUUCUCCUUGUUUCUACUUUUUUUUCUUUGUUUUCUUCUCAAGAGUUUCUAAAUAUUUUCUCCUUCUGUCUUUCUCACUUUCAUCCGUUCUCUCCUUUUUUUCACUUCUUCCUCUUACGCUUUUUUUCCUUAUUUUUUCUCUUCUUUUUACCCUACUGUCUCUUGUUUUCCUUUUCUUUUCUUUUCCUCUCUUCUUCUGCCCCUUUUCUGUCUGUGUACAGUCUCCCUCUAUACACUAUGUUGGUGGGUAUUUAUAUAUAGAGUGGUGGGAGUUGUAUGUGUGCAGGUGCCGUGUGUUGUGGGAAUGUGGGGAAACGAGGUUAAGGAAUGUGGGGAGAGAUUGGUGGGG
rnacentral:lncRNA from 1 species